AUGAGCAAGAUGCAGUUCUUCAUCUGCUUGCUGCUCACAAUCAUCAACUACAGCUUGACAUCAUCUACGCGGUCAGCAUGCUCGCAAUUGAUUAAGAGCAUCCACCAAUCGAACAUGUGUUUGUGUUGUGAUGAUGAACCGCUGAUAUUCGCUGAUCAAACAUCUUGUAUUUUUCAUCUGGACCGUGGCAUGUGCCAUGUUUAUACAAUAAUCAUUUUCCUUAUUUCUGGAAUCAUGAUACUUAUAACUGAUUAUAAGAGCUUAUUUGUUGCUUUGCAUAAUCUGGUUGUACGUUCGUUGCAUGUAAAGUUAUUUUAUGAGUUGAGUUGUAAAGAUUGCACUUUUAAUUGUAGUGUUGCCAUUCUGCACCAGCUUGUUCAAAACUGUGUGUACCAAAUAGUAGAAAGGGGAUUAAGGGAUGUGAAGGUUGGAUUGGUGAGCAUUUGA
rnacentral:rRNA from 1 species